GAUGAAUGCUGGCGGCGUGCCUAACACAUGCAAGUCGAGCGGCAGCGAGGGGUGAUUGCACUCUGUCGGCAAGCGGCGAACGGCUGAGUAACGCGUAGGAAUUUGCCCCAAAGAGAGGAAUAACUGCCCAAAAGGGUAGCUAAUGCCGCCAUUGGUCUUCGGAUUAAUGGAUUAAUCCGCUCUGGGAGAAGCCUGCGAUGGAUUAGGUUGUUGGUAGGUUAAUGGCCUGCCGAGCGGACGAUCCAUAGCUGGUCUGAGAGGAUGAUCAGCCAGACUGGAACUGAGACACGGUCAAGAACCGUACGGGAGGCAGCAGGGAGGAAUCUUCGACAAUGGGCGAAAGCCUGAUGGAGCCACGCCGCGUGAAGAAUGAAGGCCUUCGGGUUGUAAACUUCUUUUAUGAGUGAAGAAUAUGACGGUAACUUAUGAAUAGGCACCGGCUAACUACGUG
rnacentral:rRNA from 1 species